rnacentral:rRNA from 1 species
AUGUACAUUCCUACAAUAUAGCGUUAAUGCACCAUAUCCCAUUAGAACUAUGUAGUUAAGAAUGCUUGAGUUAGAGUAGUACUAGGAUGGAUGGCCUCCCAGGAAGACCUAAUGUUUUACAUG